CCUACGGGGUGCAGCAGUGGGGAAUAUUGCACAAUGGAGGGAACUCUGAUGCAGCGACGCCGCGUGAAUGAAGAAGGUCUUCGGAUUGUAAAGUUCUUUAGUCAGGGAAGAAGUCAAUGACGGUACCUGAAGAAUAAGCUCCGGCUAACUACGUGCCAGCAGCCGCGGUAAUACGUAGGGAGCAAGCGUUGUUCGGAAUGACUGGGCGUAAAGGGUGCGUAGGCGGUUGUACAAGUUAGAAGUGAAAUACCCAGGGCUUAACUCGGGUGCUGCUUCUAAAACUGUAUGACUUGAGUGCAGUAGAGGGUAGUGGAAUUCCUAGUGUAGCGGUGGAAUGCGUAGAUAUUAGGAGGAACACCAGAGGCGAAGGCGGCUAACUGGACGGCAACUGACGCUGAGGCACGAAAGUGUGGGGAGCAAACAGGAUUAGAUACCCUAGUAGUC
rnacentral:rRNA from 1 species